rnacentral:rRNA from 1 species
CUUAAACCAGAGGUGUCAGAAAAAUUACCACAGGGAUAACUGGCUUGUGGC